ACACAACUGUGGCGCUUAAAUAACCAGCAAAUGCAUGCUGAUGACACUUGAGGAUCUGUCAUAAAAAAGAAACGCUCUAGCCAGCGAAUCAUCGACACAUGAAGCUUCAAAGAAUGGAAGGCCACAGCAUUGGACGCUUGGGCGCUAUUGUGGUUUCAUUCUGCGCAUUCAUCGUUGUACUGGUUCUUAAUGCAAUAGCUGGACCAGGAUUACCACCAUUUACGAACAGCACUGGAGAUAUAUCAGAUAAAUAUGGCACUCAGAUCACGCCCUCUGGCUGGACGUUUUCCAUCUGGGGUGUAAUUUACGCCUGGUUGACGGCAAUGUUCGGCUACAUCCUCAGCACAAUCUGCCGACGCAAUGCCUACGGCUAUAUGUACUGUAGUCCUCCUGUGUUGCCAUAUGGAUUCUUCAUUUCCUGGAUACUUAAUAUGAUACUUAACAUUGCAUGGCUUUUGCUAUGGGACAGACAGGAAAUGAUUGCUGCAUUUGUGGUUCUGGCGCUGGUAGCCUUCACAAACUAUGCUUUGAUAUUCUUCUCCUGUCAUGGAUUGAAAGACUAUGGUGCUUGGCUGAACAAAUACCACAAAGUAGACUUGUGGCUUGUCCGUGUGAUGGUUCAGAAUGGCAUAGGCAUUUACACGACAUGGACAACAAUUGCCACCUUGAUCAACCUCACCAUUGUUAUGGACUAUAAUGGGCAGCUUUCCACAUUGGAUGCAGGCACUGUAUCUUUCUCGAUUCUGCUGGUUGAAGUGGUUGUUUGGUUCAUUGUUGAGAACUUUGUGCUUGACAAACAUGUCCGCUACAUCCUGACCAUCUACCCUGUGGUUAUUGUGGCUCUGACCGGAAACAUGACCAAGAACUACGACUCUGCAGCACCCAGUCGCAAUGGGACUUUUAUUGCUGUGCUCUUGGCUCUGGCGUGUGUCCUGUUUGCCAUACGAAUAGUUUUGGUGGUCUGGAGGCACAUGAAGAGACCCUUCUACAAAGGCAUGGAUGCUGAAACCGUUAUGUCACCGAUGGACAUAGCUGAGAGGCAAAGGAAGAUAUUUUCUUAGGAGAAAUGAUGCGUGCAUAAAUGUGUUUGGAUUAUAAGCAAGAUUGUUAUGCACUAAAUACAUUCCUUGUCACGUUAAUUAAAAAUAUAUAUAUGUAUUAAAAACAACAAAGGAUGUAUUCAAAUUGUAUUUUUGUAUAUAAGCAAUAUAAUUUAUUAUUUUUAAAUGAACCAAAGUGCUGUACGUAUGUAACUAGGACAGCAGGAAAAAAGUGUUUGUUAUUGAACCAUUGAAUUGUCACCAUAUAUCUCUGACCUACGAACUGUUCAAUGUUUGCUAUAUAGUGGAUCUUCAAAUUCAUAAAGUAAUAAACAUCUGGUGUGCAUUUGUCA
rnacentral:lncRNA from 1 species